UGGAGGCAGCAGUGAGGAAUUUUGGGCAAUGGGCGAAAGCCUGACCCAGCAACGCCGCGUGGGUGAUGAAGGCCUUCGGGUCGUAAAGCCCUUUUUCAGGGGAAGAUAAUGACGGUACCCUGAGAAUAAGCCCCGGCUAACUACGUGCCAGCAGCCGCGGUAAUACGUAGGGGGCAAGCGUUGUCCGGAUUUAUUGGGCGUAAAGCGCGCGUAGGCGGCGCGGUAUGUCGUGCGUGAAAUCUCCCGGCUUAACUGGGAGGGGCCGUGCGAAACUGCCGGGCUUGAGGUCAGAAGGGGAAAGUGGAAUUCCGGGUGUAGUGGUGGAAUGCGUAGAUAUCCGGAGGAACACCAGCGGCGAAGGCGGCUUUCUGGUCUGAUACUGACGCUGAGGCGCGAAAGCGUGGGGAGCGAUCCGGAUUAGAUACCCUGGUA
rnacentral:rRNA from 1 species